AGGCAUUCAUCAUGUACAUGUGGCAUACACUACCCAUUCAUAGUAAUUCACAUAAUCACAUCACGAGGUAUUAACACAUAGCAUGGAUAAAUAGGCUUACAAGCCAUAACCAUUAUAAGCCACAUCUCAUGGCUAUAUACAAUAAAUCAAUAUAAGCCAAUAUAUUUGGCUAAUCAUAACAACAUCUAACAUAAAACCAAAUCCCUAUACAUUCC
rnacentral:lncRNA from 1 species